AACUGAAGCUGACAUCUUCGUAAAUGCCAUACAACUAGGAUACAAAAGGAUUUUCGCAUCACUAACUAAACGUUGAAUGUCUUCCCCUGUUCCAUCAUGAGGAUUUUCAGGAUGUACAUCAUGUUAUGCAUAGAAGUCCCUAAAUAUCCUACAUGACUCGGGCAUUUCUACAUCAACCAAAUUUGAUUUAUUUGGUCGCUCUCCAUUAAAUACCCAAACAGUAUAUGUAGAAUCUAUACCCUUAAUAACCAAAUGCUCAUACAAUGUUUCAUAAUAAUGAUGCUUUAGAUUCUUAUACAUAAUACAAGGGCAUCUUAUCAUUCCUGAAUUUAGAUUUUCACAAGCUAGUUCAACAAAAUUUCGUGCUCUAUCUCUGUAUUGUUCUGAAAAUCUACGACAACAAUUUUAUGAUCAAUUGAUAUUAUUGUUUAGAUUUUGUAACUAGAUUUAUAAGAUUUUAUUAUAGAUAAUAACCUUGAUAAUUGCAGCCAUUCUUUGUCUAUUAUGAUACUAUCAAACAUUGAAUAGCAACAAUUCAAAUUGUAAAGUAAACUCGAUAAUUUCUAAUACAAACAAAUGUGUGGGAGCAUAAGAUUCAUAUUGUAAGGAAAGUGGAUUAGAUUAAGUCGCCCUAAAUAUCAUACCUGAUAUUUUGCUUCCACGAGAAUGCGGUCUAAUGAAUAAGGUUGUUAAAGGCGAGCUAUAAUUCUUUGUCCAGUUGAUAGGUUCACCUAGAGCUCUGCCUAGACCAAUUCUGGCCUACAACAUCACCCUUUCUGAAAAUUGAAAGGUUCCUUCAAAUCUAAAACAUGAAUCGGUUAUACAUAUUUUUUUCUCUCAAAUGUUAGAUAGGAAAUUAAAUGAAAUAAAGUGAGGUAACAAUUUCAAGAAAAGAAAGAACCUACAGCUCUAAUCAUAUCUUGCAUCAUAAAUGAAAUGGAAUCUAUUUUUUAUCCAAAAUCAAAUAUUGAGUCAAACUAGUGAUGGAAAUGCACCUCAAUUCGCAUGCAAGUGAUGUCAAAGAAAUUGUUUGCCAGAUCCACGAUGCAUCCCUUCGUUUCAAUUUUCGCAAAUUUAGUCCGGCUUCCUGUAGAAACAUCAUUUCAGUUAUCUAUAUCAGCUCUUAAUCCUAUUAGAGCUAAUUAUAUUUCAAAAUAACAGAAACACAAAAUCAAGAACC
rnacentral:lncRNA from 1 species